rnacentral:misc_RNA from 1 species
GCCGCCUCUUGAGAUCCUUGUACGACAAGAACUUGUCCCGCCACUCCGGGAGCGUCUCCACGAUCUGGCUACUCAGGCUCUUCCCAAACUUCAUCCUCAACAACAAGAGAGAAGAAAACUGCACAAAACUGCACUACGGCUGCCAAGAACCGAUCGAAUUCUCGCCGCGGCAGCGGUGGAGGUGGUGGUGAAAUAGGGUUG